UACAGAGGGUGCGAGCGUUGUUCGGAAUUAUUGGGCGUAAAGGGCGCGUAGGCGGUGCGGUAAGUCACCUGUGAAAUCUCCUGGCUUAACUGGGAGCUUGCAGGCGAAACUGCCGUGCUGGAGUGUGGGAGAGGUGCGUGGAAUUCCUGGUGUAGCGGUGAAAUGCGUAGAUAUCAGGAGGAACACCUGUGGCGAAAGCGGCGCACUGGACCACAACUGACGCUGAGGCGCGAAAGCUAGGGGAGCAAACAGG
rnacentral:rRNA from 1 species